rnacentral:rRNA from 1 species
UACGGGGGGGGUAAGCGUUGUUCGGAAUUCCUGGGCGUAAAGGGCUCGUAGGCGGCCCACUAAGUCAUACGUGAAAUCCCUCAGCUUAACUGGGGAACUGCGUGUGAUACUGGAUGGCUUGGAUUUGGGAGAGGGAUGCGGAAUUCCAGGUGUAGCGGUGAAAUGCGUAGAUAUCUGGAGGAACACCGGUGGCGAAGGCGGCAUCCUGGACCAAUAUUGACGCUGAGGAGCGAAAGCCAGGGGAGCAAACGGG